AGUCACAAUUCCUCUGAGACCCUGAGAUCCUGGUGUGACCAAGCUUCUGGGAUGCUGGGAUCCUGGAAUCCUAAGAUCCUGGGCAUGUUAAAGCGCCUGGAAAUGGUACCUCCUCUGGAGACCAAGGGGCUGUCUGCUGUGUUCAAAAUCAAGGAAUAAAACAAUGUGUCUUGUGCUGCUAGAUAAAGAGCUCUUUAGAAGUUGGUUAUAUCUUACUGACUGACACUGACUUCACCUUCAUGAUUUUCUGCCAGCUGCAUCUCUAACAGAUGAGUGUUGAUCUCUGUUACACUAAAGUGUAUGUGUGCACAUGAAUGCAGGCACUCAUGGGGACCAAAAGAGGAAUACUUCGUGCCAGCAGAAGAAUCCAGCCUCUGUGACAACCAUAGAAAUGUGCUGUUCUUUAAUCGCUGGCUGACUCAGUUGUGGUGAACACCAGAGGAACAAGCUUUUUGGCUGUUUGAAUUUCAAAGAUCUCACUUUGAUACUACCAAAUGUUGGAUCUGAGAUUGCAGAGAGGAACUCUUUCUGGCUGAUGAGAAUCCUGUUAGGAUGAGGGCCUUCUCUGGACACAGUUGCAGAAAAUGAAUAGUUUCCUGAUGAGGGUCACUCAAGUUCUGAUGUGUGAGGAAUGUUCUUUAAAAUACUAUUAAAGAUAAUCUGUUAGUAUGUUAA